AGAUUGAACGCUGGCGGCGUGCUUAACACAUGCAAGUCGAGCGGUAACGCGGGAGCAAUCCUGGCGACGAGCGGCGAACGGGUGAGUAAUGCUUGGGAAUCUGCCCAUUAGUGGGGAACAACCAGCCGAAAGGUUGGCUAAUACCGCAUACGCCCUACGGGGGAAAGCGGGGGAUCGAAAGACCUCGCGCUAAUGGAUGAGCCCAAGUCGGAUUAGCUUGUUGGUAGGGUAACGGCCUACCAAGGCGACAAUCCGUAGCUGGUCUGAGAGGACGACCAGCCACACUGGGACUGAGACACGGCCCAGACUCCUACGGGAGGCAGCAGUGGGGAAUAUUGGACAAUGGGGGCAACCCUGAUCCAGCGACGCCGCGUGUGUGAAGAAGGCCUGCGGGUUGUAAAGCACUUUUAGUGGGGAUGAAAAGCUCAGGGUUAACACCUCUGGGUCUUGACCUAACCCACAGAAAAGCACCGGCUAACUCUGUGCCAGCAGCCGCGGU
rnacentral:rRNA from 1 species